AGCAGCAGCGGAAGCAUCAAACAAACAAUCCCCUCGCCUUUUACUAGGGGAUUCCGUGCUGCUUCCGCAUCCAAUGCUGCAUUACAAUCUUUGGAACCCCUCUUCCUUCGGAAGU
rnacentral:snRNA from 1 species